rnacentral:misc_RNA from 1 species
UUAGAUCUGCCCAUCCACGCUUUCCAUCGUGCUCAACCGAACCCACGCAUCAGCGCUGCGCUUCGCUGUUUUUCGCUCCUUCCUAACUCCACCUCCUCCGCCCACGUGACAGCUAACCCAAUGGCUCGCUCCCGCGCAGCGCCUCGUGCCAGCGGUGGCAGCAGCCACCACGCCGCCGCCUCACCGCCGCCGAAGAAGGCGGAGCCGCUGCACCAGUCGACACCCCACGCGCACCCGCAGCAGCCGAACGGCGUCACGAACAUCUACGUUCAGCGUCCGAUGGCCGGCGGUGGCGGUGGCGGCAUCCUCGGCACGAUGGCGGCCGUCGCCGGGGGCAGCGUGCUGGGCCACGGCAUCAGCAACUACCUCUACGGCCACAGCAACCAGGCGCCGACGCAGCCGGCAGAGGCGCAGCAGCUGGCGCAGGCCGCGCAGCAGGAGGGGCACGUCUGCACGCCGCAACUUGUGGGCUACUCCAAGUGCCUUGAGGCGAACCCCGAGUCCGCCGACAGCUGCAAGUGGGCGUGGGACUACUUCACGCAGUGCCAGAGAGAGCACCCGAUGCAGCCUCCGCAGUAGCAUUGAAAGGGACAUCCUGUAGGCGACUGUGAUGAAACCUCGUGAUGGUGGCGGGUGAUGGGGGGGGGGGGGGGGGCGGGGGUAAAGGAGGGGUUGGCACCCGCACGUGGGACUCUGUGUGCGUGUGCGUGUGUGUGUGUGUUAGCUUCGUCAUGCUGACACAGUUAAAGAAGACGAAAUCCGAGCACCGCCCCCUCCUCUUCUCCCUCGGGUACGAACGGCCCAAGCAUGCGCACGCGCCGCCGCCACCACCGCCGCCACCACCACCGCACCCCUAACGAGAAGGCACCCACAGAAGUAACGCAUAUCUACAGCAAAAGAAGGGAGAGGAAGGGGGGGCCACACACCCACGCACGAGCCAUACACAUAACGUGGACACUUACAUGUGUAUCAACGGUGCACCGCCACUACCACCCUCUCUCUAUCACUCGUCCCCCAUCCCCGGAACGACAUCACUGUAAGCCAGAGGAGGCACAGUGACGGAACAAAGAAGGGCGCCGAGAAUAUUCGCUGGACAUCCCUCCUUUACUGGUGUGUGUGUGUGUGUGUGUCUGUGUGUGUUUAAAGACCUGUUUUGUGGCUGUAUCGCCCCCUCGCCCACUCGCUCCGCCCCAUCCUGCGUGCCUGUAACCGUUGCCCUCGUUGUUGCUGCCCAUGUGCUUACCUGGGGGGAGGGGCGGGGCUAGAGGGCUUCUCUUGUUCGCUGUGUGUGUGUGUGUGUGCCUUACCUCUAUAACUAUAUAUAUUUAUAUCCUUGCGCAUGUUACCGCUCCAUUUAGGACGGAGGAAGGGCGGCAGCGGCAGCAGCAGCCCAUGCGUUUCCAUUCGUGUCUACCUAG